ensembl:piRNA 21ur-7063 ncRNA
UUACAAUGUUCCAAAAAAAAG